rnacentral:rRNA from 2 species
CAGUCUUAGCCCUAAGAACCCAACAUUCAGUUGGGCAUUGUUAGGGAAUUGCAGGUUAUAAGCCCAGAGGAAGGUGGGGAUGCCGUCAAGUCCUCAUGCCCCAUACGGGCUGGGCUACACACGUGCUACAAUGGUGGUGACAGUGGGCAGCGAGCACGCGAGUGUGAGCUUAUCUCCAAAAGCCAUCUCAGUUCGGAUUGCACUCUGCAACUCGAGUGCAUGAAGUUGGAAUCGUUAGUAAUCGCGGAUCAGCAUCCCGCGGUGAAUACGUUCCCGGGCCUUGUACACCCCGCCCGUCACACCAUGGGAGUUGGUUUUACCCGAAGGCGCUGUGCUAACCGCAAGGAGGCAGGCGACCACGGGAGUGCAGCCAGGGU